AACGAACGCUGGCGGCAGGCUUAACACAUGCAAGUCGAGCGCCCCGCAAGGGGAGCGGCAGUCGGGUGAGUAACGCGUGGGAACGUACCUUUUGGUUCGGAACAACUCCGGGAAACUGGAGCUAAUCCCGAAUCGGCCUAAACGGGCAAAGAGUUAUCGCCGAAAGAUGGGCCACCGUCGGAUUAGCCGGUUGGUGGGGGAACGGUGCACCAUGGCCAAGUUCAGUAGCUGGUCAGUGAGGAUGGUCAGCCACACUGGGACUGAGACACGGCCCAGACUCCUACGGGAGGCAGCAGUGGGGAAUAUUGGACAAUGGGCGCAAGCCUGAUCCAGCCAUGCCGCGUGAGUGAUGAAGGCCUGAGGGUUGUAAAGCUCUUUUGUCCGGGAAGAGAAUGACUGUACCGGAAGAAUAAGCCCCGGCUAACUACGUG
rnacentral:rRNA from 1 species